rnacentral:rRNA from 1 species
CCCUUAGAUGUUCUGGGCCGCACGUGUGCUACACUGAGUGGAUCAGCGGGUCAGGUUGCGCGAAAGCGUUUCCUAAUCUUGAAAUCCGCUCGUGAUGGGGAUUGACGGUUGCAAUUUUCUGUCAUGAACGAGGAAUACCUUGUAAGCGCGAGUCAUCAUCCCGCGCUGAAUACGUCCCUGCCCUUUGUACACACCGCCCGUCGCUCCUACCGAUUGAGUGGUCCGGUGAGGCUUUGGGAUCUGAGCGGAAAGAGCGUUUCGCUCGUUCUGCCCGGAAAACUCAGUCGAACCUUAUCAUUUAGAGGAAGGAGAAGUCGUAACA